UCAAGCCCUGCCCUCAGCUCGUGCAGCUCCCCAGGGUGGUUGGCUCAUGGGGGGGUCCAUGAUGUGUCCCUGUCCCAUGUCCCCACCCCACAGGGGCAGGAGAAGCUCAGCUGCAACCCCAAGAAGGAGAAUGGGACUCGUGUGGUACUCUGUGAGUUGGGCAACCCCAUGAAAGCGGGAGCCCAGGUAAGGAGACAGGGGGUCCCUGCUGUGCCCGUCACCCAUUGGGGCUGGUCACCCACCUGCCCCUCUCCUGUGCUGUCCCCCAGAUCACCGUGGACUUGGAGCUGAGCGUGUCCGGGCUGGAGGACAUGGGGGACGCCAUCACCUUCCACCUCCAGCUGCGGAGCAAGAACAGCCCCAGCCCCAGCAACGCGUCGGUGACGGUGACAGUGCCCGUGGAGGCAGAGGCAGAGAUGGAGCUGCGAGGCACCUCCCUGCCUGCCACCACGGUGCUGCCCACGAGCUGGCACCGGGUGGAGGGCAGUCGGCGGCUCGAGGACCACGGCAUCAAGGUGGAGCACGUCUAUGAGGUGGGACACUGCACCCGCGGGUGCUCAG
rnacentral:lncRNA from 13 species